UACGUAGGGUGCGAGCGUUGUCCGGAUUUAUUGGGCGUAAAGAGCUCGUAGGCGGUUUGUCGCGUCGGCCGUGAAAUCUCCACGCUUAACGUGGAGCGUGCGGUCGAUACGGGCAGACUUGAGUUCGGUAGGGGAGACUGGAAUUCCUGGUGUAGCGGUGAAAUGCGCAGAUAUCAGGAGGAACACCGGUGGCGAAGGCGGGUCUCUGGGCCGAUACUGACGCUGAGGUGCGAAAGCGUGGGGAGCAAACAGG
rnacentral:rRNA from 1 species